AGAGGAGAAGGAUGAGAUUGAAGGAGGAGGUUUGAUAGAAUGGCAGGCCCACAUGCACAUCACCACCACCACUACUGCAAUUGUUGAACUUGAAACACAAGCUACUGACCAAACAAAUGGGUCUUCUUGGGUGAGCAAUAGACUGAAUGGAGAACAAGAGUUCUCUCAAACAGAAGUGAAUUCUGGUGACAUUGAGAAGAACACAACUAUAAGUCCUUCCGAGCCUGUAUUUCUUCUGUGGACUCUACUUCUCUUGACAAUGUGACAACUGAAACUGAGAGAGUAGGAAAAAUAACAGAGCAUGUGCAGCAAGUGAAGGAACUAUAUUGGAAAGUCUAUAUCAGAAGCCACCUACACAGGGAUUCUAUUGUCCCAAUUGUAAGGCUUGUAUCCAGAAGGUCUUGCUUUUGGAUCCUGUUAGGGAAGAAACUAUAGUUCCCACACAGCCUCCUCCACCAGCUGACACAUUCAGAUGCUCAUCAUGCUUCAGCUUCCUCAUCCCAAUAGGUAGUAGGCUCUUCCCUGGGUGGGUGCAUGAUAAUGAAGCACCAACUAUUCAAGGUGAAGUAUUUCCUGAAUGCAUCUAAUUCACUGGGCAAUUUACAUAUAAACUUAUUUUUGCCUCCAUUUGCCAUUGAAAGAACUUAAUGAUGAAAGACCUCAAGCUACACCAGCAGUUACAAUUCAAGCCCCUGAUCAAGCUAACACUGCAGCUGAUUCAGGAAAACAAAUCUUGCAGCCUGAAUAGUGAUGAAUGAUGAAAUAGACAAAGCGCCCAAUGA